CCCUUAGAUGUUCUGGGCCGCACGUGUGCUACACUGAGUGGAUCAGCGGGUCAGGUUGCGCGAAAGUGUUUCCUAAUCUUGAAAUCCGCUCGUGAUGGGGAUUGACGGUUGCAAUUUUCCGUCAUGAACGAGGAAUACCUUGUAAGCGCGGGUCAUCAUCCCGCGCUGAAUACGUCCCUGCCCUUUGUACACACCGCCCGUCGCUCCUACCGAUUGAGUGGUCCGGUGAGGCUUUGGGAUCUGAGCGGAAAGAGCGUUUCGCUGUUUCUGCUCGGAAAACUCAGUCGAACCUUAUCAUUUAGAGGAAGGAGAAGUCGUAACA
rnacentral:rRNA from 1 species